GACGAACGCUGGCGGCGUGCCUAAUACAUGCAAGUCGAACGCAGUGGGGACGGGUGAGUAACACGUGGGUAACCUCCCAUCAGAGGGGAUAACACUUGGAAACAGGUUCUAAACCUAUACUGAUGGAUGGACCCGCGGUGCAUUAGCUAGUUGGUGAGGUAACUGCUCACCAAGGCCACGAUGCAUAGCCGACAUGGGAGAGUGACCGGCAAAACUGGGACUGAGACACAGCCAGGAAGACUACGAAAGGCAGCAGUAGGGAAUCUUCGGCAAUGGACGAAAGUCUGACCGAGCAAAGCCGAGUGAGUGAAGAGGGUUUUCGGAAAGUAAAACUCUGUUGUGAGAGAGGCGGAAUCUAACCAGAAAGCGACGGCUAACUACGUGCCAGCAGCCGCGGUAAUAC
rnacentral:rRNA from 1 species